GUGAUUAGUUAAGUUCUUGAAACUCAAAGAAUUUGGCGGUAUUUUAUUCUUCCCAGAGGAACCUGCCCCUUAAUUGAUAGUUCACGAUUGACUAUACUUAAUUUAUUUGCUUGUAUAUCUCCGUUAUAAGAAUAUCUUUUUAGAGUUAAAAUUUUCUUAAUUUGGAUUGAAUAGUAUUUCAGGUCAAGGUGCAGCUUAUGGUUAAGUAGGAGGUGGGUUACAUAAAAUUUAUUUAUACGGUUUUUCUUAUGAAAUAUAAGGAAUUAAGGUGGAUUUGUUAGUAAAUUGAAUAUUAUUAUUUAAUUGAUUUAGCUCUAAAAUGUGU
rnacentral:rRNA from 1 species